rnacentral:rRNA from 1 species
CAUAAUCAUUAGCUUUUUAAUUGUGAGCUUGUAUGAAUGGUUAAACAAAAGAAAUGCUGUCUCUUUUUUAAAAUUUGAAUUUAACUUUUGAGUGAAAAGGCUUAAAUAUAUUAAGGGGACGAUAAGACCCUAUAAAGCUUUAUAAGUAAUUAUAAGCAUUUCUGAGUUAAAGAUAAAAGAAGUAUUUAUAUUGCUUAUUAUGUUGGGGCGACACAGAUAAAAUUAGUAACUGUCAGGAAAAAAAACAUACAUUUAUGAGAACGUAUGAUCCUUCAUAAAGAUUAAAAGACAAAGUUACUUUAGGGAUAACAGCGUUAUUCUUUUUGAGAGUCCUUAUCGAAAAAAGAGUUUGCGACCUCGAUGUUGAAUCAUAAAAUCUUUAUAGUGCAGGAGCUAUAAAAA